rnacentral:rRNA from 1 species
GACGAACGCUGGCGGCGUGCUUAACACAUGCAAGUCGAACGGAAAGGCCCUGCUUGCAGGGUACUCGAGUGGCGAACGGGUGAGUAACACGUGGGUGAUCUGCCCUGCACUUCGGGAUAAGCCUGGGAAACUGGGUCUAAUACCGGAUAGGAGCCAUUUUUAGUGUGAUGGUUGGAAAGUUUUUUCGGUGUAGGAUGAGCUCGCGGCCUAUCAGCUUGUUGGUGGGGUAAUGGCUUACCAAGGCGGCGACGGGUAGCCGGCCUGAGAGGGUGGACGGCCACAUUGGGACUGAGAUACGGCCCAGACUCCUACGGGAGGCAGCGGUGGGGAAUAUUGCACAAUGGGCGCAAGCCUGAUGCAGCGACGCCGCGUGGGGGAUGACGGCCUUCGGGUUGUAAACUCCUUUCGCUAGGGACGAAGCUUUUUGUGACGGUACCUAGAUAAGAAGCACCGGCUAACUACGUG